UAAUUGAUGAAUGGGACGGUGACUCAAUCCCGUCUCGUCUGAGGGCGAGAGGCAUAGCGAUGCCGGCGAGAUAUCGUUUCAGUCGUUAUUUUUCUCCAUUGGCGAUCUGAUUGUUGCUCCUCCACAU
rnacentral:snoRNA from 1 species